AUGGCUCCAAAAAACUCAGCUGUCUUCCUCCUUGGGCUUCUUCUCUCAUGCGUAGCCAUGAGUAGUGCGGCGAGAAUCCUUGAGGAGACAGAGCUUCCACCAUUCCUGGAAGUGCACCUACCACCUAAGCUUGAGCUUCCCAAGGUGGAGCUGCCGCCGGUCCAUGAGGUGCACCUACCACCCAAGCCGGAACUGCCUAAGGUGGAGUUGCCAACGUUCCCAGAGGUUUACCUGCCACCCAAGCCGGAGAUGCCCAAGGUAGAGCUGCCAACGUUCCCGGAGGUUCACCUGCCACCCAAGCCGGAGAUGUCCAAGGUGGAGCUGACGCGGAAGCCCGAGAUGCCCAAGUUCCACUUCCCAAAGCCGGAGGACAAGCCAUGA
rnacentral:rRNA from 1 species